CACUUGCGCAAGCGCAGAAGGAGAGAGCCGGAUGUGAUUUCACCUACCUUGCAGGCUCUUGCGCCUCCUCAGCCAUAGCUUGACCCUCAACCUGUGGCUUGGGUACCUAGGAAAGAACUGAGUUAGGUCAGGGUCGAUUAGUGCUCUUUUAUUUCAGCAGCUGGUCCCAACAGCUGCAUUGUUUGUGCUUGAAGGCAGAUUGCCUUAAUUUUAGGUAUAACGCUUUAUGUUAUGUAGACUUUGAGCCUGUUUCCUAGUCAGCGGCAAUAAUACUUAGAAUAAUACUUAAAAUAAUUCCAGCUUCUUAGGAUUGUGGGGAAGAUUAAAGGAUUGCGAUGGCUCUUUGUAAACUGAAGUGUUUUAUAAAAGGUGUGAUCGGGUAUUAACUUCCUGGCUUACCGUCUGUUAGAUUGAUGAGGACCUUUCGCACCUCAAUUCAUCUUCAAAGAGAGACAUAAACCUCAGGUAGAUCAAGUACAUGCAGACCCUCUGGUGGUGCAACUUCAAAUCAUCUAUUACUCAUAAGAACUACUACACUCCAGCUGCAGGAAUUGGUACAUCAGGACCGAUGUCAGUGUGAGUGGUUCUGUUGCGGUUUCACCACGGAAGGAUUACUUGAGAAUUGUUUGCUUUGGGUCCAGUUUCAAAGCUGGGGUUUAAAGGGUCUGUAGCUCGUGACCUGUGGCGGCUGACCAUUAGGACUGCUCCGUGUAGCGCCUUUGUACCCUGCUGUCCAAACCACAACUGGUCCACAACAGCAAGACCAGAGCUGGGGCAGGGCAAAGGAGCCAGGGAAGGUGGAGCGUGGAGUUGUUCUAGAGUAACGAUGACGCGCUCCUUGACUUUGUACGUACACGGCACAUUAUUUAUUGGAUCCUUUUAACAACCCAAUGAUGUAGGCAGCAUAAGUGAUCUUAUCCGGAGCUUUCCAAUCAAAGCAACAAACCUAUCAAGUUUUUGAGUGUCUUUGCUCUAAGUCAUGCAGCUAGGGUUCAGACCUGCAGCAGAUGGAAGUUCCCAGGAGGCUGGGGGCUAGGAGUCGAACUGGAGCUGGAGCUGAGACCUACACCACAGCCACAGCAAUAUGGGCUCUGAGCCACAUCUAAGACUUAUGCUGCAGCUUGUGACAAUGCUGGAUCCUUAACCGACUGAGCGAGGCCAGGGAUCAAACCCGCAUCCUCCGGAUACUAGUUGGGUUCUUAACCUGCUGAGCCACAAUGGGAACUCCCCUUCCUGUUCUCUUGAUUCCAUUUGCUUGUCCCAGUUGCAGAGGAGAACUGGAGUUACAAGCCUAGUGUAACAGGGCCUGCAGGCUGCAGAAAGGGGCAGAAAUCCUUCACCAGAACAAUCUAACUCGCUGAUAUUCUCCAGACCAAAAAAGGAUUGGCCCUACAUCAAUCUUUGGGAAAAAUCAUUUGUUUCCUAAAAAGUCAUUUUUGUAUCAUCAUCAAUCAUCCUGAAAGGAUUUUUCAAAAUUAGCUUUUAAAUAAAAUAAUUAUUUUGUUUUUGCCUAAUUUAACCCCAUUCUCUAUUUUAAACCCUAUUACUGUGAUUUAAUGUGUUUUUUCUUCUGGAUGAUUAUCUAUUUAGUGAAUUUUUUGUGUCUUUUUUUUUUUUUUUUUUUUUUUUUUUUGUCUUUUUAGGGCCGCACCCAGGGCAUAUAGAAGUUCCCAGGCCAGGGGUCGAAUUGGUGCUCUAGCUGCCAGCCUAUAUCACAGCCACAGCAAGGUGGGACUCAAGCCUUGUCUGCGACCCAUGCCAUAGCUCAUGGCCAUGUCAGAUCCUUAACCCACUGAGUGAGGCCAGGGAUCAAACCCGAGCUCUCAUGGAUCCUAGUCAGGUUCGUUACCAGUGAGCCCUGGUGUGAACUCCCAGGAUGAUUACUUUAAAUGCUUGAAGACAGCUUGUUCUAAAUUAGCAAGGCCAUGGUCUGAAUGGCCUUAUUCCUUCACUAACUCUCUUAGCUAUUCAUUCUCCCUUGAAAGGAUCUUUUAGUUCCCUUAAUUUCCUCUUACUUGAAAGCUCAAUGUGACUGUUUCCAUACAGAACAGACAGAUCUGUUUUCCUUUCUGAGAAUGUGGAGUCACACUUGUUCCAGUUAUAGGAAGUCAUUUUGAUGAGAGGUUUUGUGUGUUUCAGUGUUGGAAGGUAGUUUUAGCUUUGAUAUUUGCUUGUUUUCAGAGGAGUUAGAAGUCUCACAGUGAACUCUUGAUGCUAUUUAAAGUUAGGAUUUUUUUUAUACUUAGUUACAAAAUUAUAGGUUGUCUUUAUAAUAUGAAGGAUAAAACCAAGAAGGUAGUAUUCCUGCAGCAGUGGAGAGACAUUGAUUAAGACUAUGUACCUUCUAACUUCUAGAAACACAACUCAGAAUUAUCCUGUUCCUCUUUUGGCUGCCUUACUUUGAAAAUUCGUAACUUCAAGGACAUGGGAAAAGUCUGAGUGACUAAAUACAAUUCACUCACUUCUCCCACAAAGAGGGGCUUCAGCUGAAGAAAAAACCAUGUACUUCUAGAGAAAAUAGGGAGACAGUUAUUUUAGGAGUCACUGAAAUGGAAAAAUUCAGCACAGAUCAAGAGGGGCAAGAACGUCGCUGGAUGAAACUGAUUUGCUGAAGUUCAUCAGCUCUUUAGCACUUCAGUUCUUGACUCUCUUUAAAAGGAACCACACACUAAUGACUGGUUUUCUUGUAACCAAAUGUUUCCUUUCUCAUCUUCAAUCCAUUUUUUAACAUAGCAAAAAUUUAUAGUUGCUGAAAAUGCCUGCUUCAGUGAAUGGUAAGUUUAUUGGGACCACAGAAAGCAAAUCAAGAAUCUCUCUCCCUCUCUCCCUCUUUCUCUUUCUCCCCCCUCUUUUCUUCUCCCUCCCCCUUCCUCCCUCUCUCUGUCUCUCUCUCACACACACACACAAACACACACACAAGCACACAUUUUUGUGCGAAGUAUAACCUACCAUAUAAAAUGUACAAGUACAGUUUAAAGAAUAGUCGAGAACUGUAUGCCAGUGCAACCAUCAUACAUGUCACAAUAUAGAAAUUUUCUAACACAUCAACAACCCCUCUGGGCAGUCUUUCUUACCCCAGUCCCCCUGCUGUCCAUGACGGGUCACCCCUUAUCAAGACUUUUAUGAGAAUCACUUCCUGCUUUCAAUUAUACUAUUAUCACACAUGCAUUUAUUAUCAUACAUAUACAUAUGUUAUCAUAUCACACAAGUAAUAUGUGUACUUUUGCUUGUUUUUAAAUAUAAGUGAGAUGAUAUAUUUUGUCUUGCUUUUUUCUUAAUCUUUCACAAGAUGCAUUUAGAUUGUGUGCAGCUAACCAAAGGAUUUUUUAUCAUAGCCAUCUUCAUUGCUGCAAAGAUUCUGUUUUAUAAAAUCCCACAACUUCUUUAUCCUUUCUGCCAGUUAAGACCAUUAGUUUCCAGCAGGGAAUAACUAUAUCAACCACACUGCUGUGAACAUUCCUGUGUGUGUAUCCAGGGUAUAGCUAGGAGUGAAAUUUCAUUCAUUUGGUAGGCAUAUCCUGAACAAAACCAUGUAGCAUGUACUGUUAAGCCAUUUCUCGUUCAUUCUACAUGUGAGUUCAUUUUUUUGUCUUUUUAGGGGCACACCUGCAGCAUAUGGAAGUUCCCCAGGCUAGGGGUUGAAUGGAAGGUUUGCACCACAGCCACAGCAUUGAAGAAUCCUAACCUCAUCUGUGACCUACACUACAGCUCACGGCAAUGCCAGCUCCUUAACCCACUGAGUGAAGCCAGGGAUCAAACCUGCAUCCUCAUGGAUCCUAGUCAGGUUCAUUACUACUGAGCCACUGCAGAAACGCCUACACAUGAGUUCUUGUAGUUCCAUGGCCUUGCCAACUCUUGGUAUCGUGAGACCAGAAAAAUUUUUUCAAUCAUGUUGCAACUUACAGGCUGCAACCAAGACAUUCCAGGAAAAACAAAGUUUUGGGAGAGAUUCUUAUAAUUUUUCUGUAAAUUCAAAAAUUUUUAUACUCAGUCCUAGCUAAUAUUUUCAACAAGUGGAGAUCCACAGACCACAGGUCCAGAUAUUUAAAAGUUAUAAAUAAGUCAAGGCAGUAAAUGGUAAAAUCUAAAAGUCACCAGUUUGGUGACACUGUAUUGGAAUCUCAUGAUUUAAUAUGCAUUCCCCUUGUCACUAAGGAGGUCUGUCACCUCCUCCAGUUUAUCAGCCAUUUGUAUUUCCUAAUUUGUGAAGUGCUUCUUUGAAGUAUUUUGUCCAUUUUUAGGGUAGGGUUUUCUGUUUUUCUCAGUGUGGAAGGUCUCUAAAUGUUCUGAAUACUAGUCCUCUGUCAGUUGUAGAGUUUGUUUAUUUAUUUAUUGUCUUUUUUUUUUUUUCUGGCCUUUUCUAGGGUCACAUCCGCAACAUAUGGAGGUU